AUGGGCAGCCGCGGGGGAGGCUGCGGCGGCCGAGGAAGCGCAGCGACUCACCUGGGGGAGGAGGAGAAGGGGCCUCGGCGGCAGGACAGAAAGAAACUGAGAAGUAGGAGAUAGAGAGGAAAAGCGAAUGACAGACAACCAUAGCAUUGCCUCACCACUCAUGAAGCUUCUACUCUGCAGCCACCAGGUUCCAGAUGCUACCAUGAUGCCAACUAGACUUCCCUGGACAGAUGAUCCCACCGAUGUGUCCUGGAGCUCCACUUCCCCAGAACCCCGCCCCACUAAGGAAAGAGAGAGACAGGCUGGGAGUAUGGACUGAGUUGUCAACGCCCAUGUUCAGCAAUUACAGAGGCCAGACCUUCU